rnacentral:rRNA from 1 species
AGUGAACGCUGGCUGUAGGCCUAACACAUGCAAGUCGAACGGCAGCACAGUAAGAGCUUGCUCUUACGGGUGGCGAGUGGCGGACGGGUGAGGAAUACAUCUGAAUCUACUUUUUCGUGGGGGAUAACGUAGGGAAACUUACGCUAAUACCGCAUACGACCUACGGUUGAAAGCAGGGGAUCUUCGGACCUUGCGCGAUUGAAUGAGCCGAUGUCGGAUUAGCUAGUUGUCGGGGUAAAGGCCCACCAAGGCGACGAUCCGUAGCUGGUCUGAGAGGAUGAUCAGCCACACUGGAACUGAGACACGGUCCAGACUCCUACGGGAGGCAGCAGUGGGGAAUAUUGGACAAUGGGAGCAAGCCUGAUCCAGCCAUACCGCGUGGGUGAAGAAGGCCUUCGGGUUGUAAAGCCCUUUUGUUGGGAAAGAAAAGCAGAAGGUUAAUACCCCGCUGUUCUGACGGUACCCAAAGAAUAAGCACCGGCUAACUUCGUG